UAAUGAUGACCUGGUUGGACCAGAGUCUGUGAGCUUUCCUCUGAAGAUCUUUGAAACCACCUGAU